CCGACGCUCGACAUAGCUAGGGGGCUAUGGAAAGCGUCCAUCCCCUUGAAGAUCAAAGUUUUCCUAUGGCAACUUUUUCGCGAUCGCCUCCCUUCUUCUAACAACAUUGCCAUUAGACAUGGCCCUUCGGAUGGCUCUUGCGCGCUCUGUGGCCAGCAUGAAGAUGCCAACCACAUCUUUUUCAAGUGCCAUCUGGCCCGCUUUGCCUGGAGUGCCGUCCGUACGGCUUUCGAUCAGACUUGGAAUCCCAAUUCAGCUGCGGACCUUCGUAGGAUCCUUCUAGCGCAGCGGGGUAGUUUCGGACGUGUGCUGUGGCGCUGCGUAGGGGCGCUGUGCUGGUCUCUUUGGACCAUCCGCAAUAAGAUGACAAUCGAACACAAGUUCCCUAACCAUCCUGCUGACAUUAUUUUCAAAUGCCAUGUGUUCCUUCAGACAUGGACUCCGUUGGGGAAACGACGUGAUGCAGAUCGGACGCUGGAGGCCAUGGAGCGGAUCCGCAUGAUCCAGGUGGAAGCCCGUGCCUAA
rnacentral:rRNA from 1 species